rnacentral:rRNA from 1 species
UACCUGCAGCUCGAGUGGUAACCGCUAUUAUUGGGCCUAAAGCGUCCGUAGCCGGUUUGGUAAAUGCCUGGGUAAAUUGUGUAGCUUAACUAUACAAAUUCCGGGUAGACUGCCAAACUUGAGACCGGGAGAAGCUAGAGGUACUCCUGGGGUAGAGGUGAAAUUCUGUAAUCCUGGGGGGACCACCAGUGGCGAAGGCGUCUAGCUAGAACGGGUUUGACGGUGAGGAACGAAGCCCUGGGCGCAAACCGGAUUGGAUACCCGGGUAGUCCAGGGUGUAAACGCUGCUUGCUUGAUGUUAGUUGGGCUCCGAGCCCAAUUAGUGUCGGAGAGAAGUUGUUAAGCAAGCUGCCUGGGAAGUACGAUCGCAAGAUUGAAACUUAAAGGAAUUGGCGGGGGAGCACAGCAACGGGUGGAGCGUGCGGUUU